UGCAUCCUGCCUGAUGCGCGAAUCAGCGAAAAUAACCCUACAACCUUUAAAUCGGGAGUUUAACUCCGUCAGUGGUGUGCAGACCUCCCCUAUCGGGACGAAGGGAGCCUAAAGCUGUCGGGUGGACACCCACCUGUCAUAUUCGUAGGCAGGUUAUAUUAAGCUGAUACGGUCAGGCGGGAUAACU
rnacentral:other from 1 species